AUGUACUGCGAUGAAUCCGAGUGGUUCAGCUGGCCCUGGAUGCGGCCCUCCUCCCUCUGCCGGGAGGGCCGGAGUACUGUCGGUCAGAGCUUGGCCAGCCCCGGGGUUCACCCUCCUCCCAGUUCCUGGGGCUCACCUGGAUCUCCAGCUCUGCGAUGCGCUGCCUCAUCUCUGCCACUGCAGCCAUGCUGUCUGCCUCCCGAAGUCGAACAGCCAUCACUUCCUCCUUACUCUGAAGGGAAGGGGGUACACAAGGGGCGGGUCAAGGAGGUGGCAAGAUCUCAGUGGUUAGCCACGAUUGCCAGCUGGCCCUUCGCAGCUCCUCCACAAGACUUGAUGACCUCUCACUUUAAGGCAGGAGUCACUCUGGAUCUUCCUGGUAUCAUCACCAUGUUCAAUUUUAUACGGUACUGA
ensembl:processed_transcript 4932443L11Rik RIKEN cDNA 4932443L11 gene